rnacentral:tRNA from 1 species
GCCGGCUUAGCUCAGUUGGUAGAGCAGCGCUCUUGUAAAGCGAAGGUCGGGGGUUCGACUCCUCUAGCCGGCACCA